AGAUUUGAGAAUUGAAGAUCUUAAGAUACCUCAUAAACCAAAGGGGCUAUGGGUUAGCUAGAAUUAGGUUAUCUAACAUGGUUAGACCUAGGGUUAGAAAUAAAUAUGGACUAAAUAGAAAAAUAGAUUAAAUCUAAUCAAGAGUUGAAUCAGAUUAGGUCAAAAUUUUUUUAAAUCAACCUUAAUAGUUGUAGCUUAAUCAUGUCCAUAUUUUGACCAUACCAAAUGGAUCUGAUUGUGGCUCAGUGGUUGAGCUCGAGUUCUUUGGCUGACUAAAUCGAAACUAAUCGAUCAAUUGGUAUCUAAGGUAAGUUUGGCAGU
rnacentral:lncRNA from 1 species